rnacentral:rRNA from 1 species
CCUACGGGUGGCAGCAGUGGGGAAUAUUGCACAAUGGGGGAAACCCUGAUGCAGCGACGCCGCGUGAGUGAAGAAGUAAUUCGUUACGUAAAGCUCUAUCAGCAGGGAAGAAAUACUGACCUUACGGUCAGCAGACGGUACCUGAGUAAGAAGCCCCGGCUAACUACGUGCCAGCAGCCGCGGUAAUCCGUAGGGGGCAAGCGUUAUCCGGAUUUACUGGGUGUAAAGGGAGCGUAGACGGUGCGCCAAGUCUGGAGUGAAAUGCCGCAGCUUAACUGCGGAACUGCAUUGGAAACUGGCGAACUAGAGUGCGGGAGGGGUAAGCGGAAUUCCUAGUGUAGCGGUGAAAUGCGUAGAUAUUAGGAGGAACACCGGUGGCGAAGGCGGCUUACUGGACCGUAACUGACGUUGAGGCUCGAAAGUGUGGGGAGCAAACAGGAUUAGAUACCCUAGUAGUC